rnacentral:misc_RNA from 1 species
GAUGAAGAACGUAGCGAAAUGCGAAAAGUAAUGUGAAUUGCAGAAUUCAGUGAAUCAUCGAAUCUUUGAACGCACAUUGCGCCCGCUGGUACUCCGGCGGGCACGCCUGUCCGAGCGUCAUUUCAACCCUCAAGCCCUCCUUCGGGAUGGGCCUGGUGUUUGGGCUCGGCCGCCAUCUCCGGCGGCCGUCCCCUAAAUACAGUGGCGGUCACGUCGCGACUCCUUUGCGUAGUAGAAACACCUCGCUCCGGAUAGCAACGCGGUCCACGCCGUAAAACCCCCAAUUUUCAAUGGUUGACCUCGGAUCAGGUGGGAAUACCCGCUGAACUUAAGCAUAUCAAUAAGCGGAGGA